AUUCUGAGUAUAAGCAGUCAGCGGAUCGCUCCGAUCCGCGGGUCAUUGCUCCGGCC
rnacentral:ncRNA from 1 species